rnacentral:ncRNA from 1 species
CAAGAAGGGGUGCUGCACCAAGACCAGCGGCUGAGAAUAAGGCGGAUGGGCCUUUAAACCCUGAACCUGAUCCGGGUAAUGCCGGCGGAGGGAUCUGUCAUA